CCACUACCAGUAUCCAAGAUGGACGCCGCGGCGAGGCCUGGCCGGCUCCCCGCCUUAGCCUGCACCCCAUUGUGUGCCCUCUAAGCGCGAAUUAGGCUCGCAGACACGCGGUGCUGACCGCUAGGCAGCCAUGCGGGCUACCGAGUGCGACUGGACACGGCCGGGGCCCGUGUUUACGGUCACUACUGGCCCCCGGUCCCUGCGCCUCCUCAACCGCGAAGCACCCAGCGGCUGGCGCCUGGAGCGUCUUUUGGUUCAUCUGCAGAAGCCAGCGGACGCCUCUGUUCUCCUUGUGGGUUACCUGGCUCAUGAGACCUUGCCGGCGAGGCUCGGCGCUUGAACGUCUGUGACCCAGCCCUCACCGUCCCGGUACUUGUAUGUGUUGGUGGGAGUUUGGAGCUCGUUGGAGCUAUCGUUUCCGUGGAAAUUUUGAGCCAUUUCGAAUCACUUAAAGGAGUGGACAUUGCUAGCAAUGAGCUCCCAAAGCCAUCCAGAUGGACUUUCUGGCCGAGACCAGCCAGUGGAGCUGCUGAAUCCUGCCCGCGUGAACCACAUGCCCAGCACGGUGGAUGUGGCCGCGGCGCUGCCUCUGCAAGUGGCCCCCUCGGCAGUGCCCAUGGACCUGCGCCUGGACCACCAGUUCUCACUGCCUGUGGCAGAGCCGGCCCUGCGGGAGCAGCAGCUGCAGCAGGAGCUCCUGGCGCUCAAGCAGAAGCAGCAGAUCCAGAGGCAGAUCCUCAUCGCCGAGUUCCAGAGGCAGCACGAGCAGCUCUCCCGGCAGCACGAGGCGCAGCUCCACGAGCACAUCAAGCAACAGCAGGAGAUGCUGGCCAUGAAGCACCAGCAGGAGCUGCUGGAACACCAGCGGAAGCUGGAGAGGCACCGCCAGGAGCAAGAGCUGGAGAAGCAGCACCGGGAGCAGAAGCUGCAGCAGCUCAAGAACAAGGAGAAGGGCAAAGAGAGUGCCGUGGCCAGCACAGAAGUGAAGAUGAAGUUACAAGAAUUUGUCCUCAAUAAAAAGAAGGCGCUGGCCCACCGGAAUCUGAACCACUGCAUUUCCAGCGACCCUCGCUACUGGUACGGGAAAACGCAGCACAGUUCCCUUGACCAGAGUUCUCCACCCCAGAGCGGAGUGUCGACCUCCUAUAACCACCCGGUCCUGGGAAUGUACGACGCCAAAGAUGACUUCCCUCUUAGGAAAACAGCUUCUGAACCGAAUCUGAAAUUACGGUCCAGGCUAAAGCAGAAAGUGGCCGAAAGACGGAGCAGCCCCCUGUUACGCAGGAAAGACGGGCCAGUGGUCACUGCUCUAAAAAAGCGUCCGUUGGAUGUCACAGACUCCGCGUGCAGCAGCGCCCCAGGCUCCGGACCCAGCUCACCCAACAACAGCUCCGGGAGCGUCAGCGCGGAGAACGGUAUCGCGCCCACCGUCCCCAGCAUCCCGGCGGAGACGAGUUUGGCGCACAGACUUGUGGCACGAGAAGGCUCGGCCGCUCCACUUCCCCUCUACACGUCGCCAUCCCUGCCCAACAUCACGCUGGGCCUGCCUGCCACCGGCCCCUCUGCUGGCACGGCGGGCCAGCAGGACGCCGAGAGACUCGCCCUUCCCGCCCUCCAGCAGAGGCUCUCCCUUUUCCCCGGCACCCACCUCACUCCCUACCUGAGCACCUCGCCCUUGGAGCGGGACGGAGGGGCAGCGCACAGCCCUCUUCUGCAGCACAUGGUCUUACUGGAGCAGCCGCCGGCACAAGCGCCCCUCGUCACAGACUGGUAUCUUUCAGGCCUGGGAGCACUGCCCCUCCACGCACAGUCCUUGGUUGGUGCAGACCGGGUGUCCCCCUCCAUCCACAAGCUGCGGCAGCACCGCCCACUGGGGCGGACCCAGUCGGCCCCGCUGCCCCAGAACGCCCAGGCUCUGCAGCACCUGGUCAUCCAGCAGCAGCAUCAGCAGUUUCUGGAGAAACACAAGCAGCAGUUCCAGCAGCAGCAACUGCAGAUGAACAAGAUCAUCCCCAAGCCAAGCGAGCCAGCCCGGCAGCCGGAGAGCCACCCGGAGGAGACGGAGGAGGAGCUCCGUGAGCACCAGGCUCUGCUGGACGAGCCCUACCUGGACCGGCUGCCGGGGCAGAAGGAGGCGCACGCACAGGCCGGCGUGCAGGUGAAGCAGGAGCCCAUUGAGAGCGAUGACGAAGAGGCAGAGCCCCCACGGGAGGUGGAGCCAGGCCAGCGCCAGCCCAGUGAGCAGGAGCUGCUCUUCAGACAGCAAGCCCUCCUGCUGGAGCAGCAGCGGAUCCACCAGCUGAGGAACUACCAGGCGUCCAUGGAGGCCGCCGGCAUCCCCGUGUCCUUCGGCGGCCACAGGCCUCUGUCCCGGGCGCAGUCCUCACCCGCGUCUGCCACCUUCCCCGUGUCUGUGCAGGAGCCCCCCACCAAGCCGAGGUUCACGACAGGCCUCGUGUAUGACACGCUGAUGCUGAAGCACCAGUGCACCUGCGGGAGCAGCAGCAGCCACCCCGAGCACGCCGGGAGGAUCCAGAGCAUCUGGUCCCGCCUGCAGGAGACGGGCCUCCGGGGCAAAUGCGAGUGCAUCCGCGGACGCAAGGCCACCCUGGAGGAGCUACAGACGGUGCACUCGGAAGCCCACACCCUCCUGUAUGGCACGAACCCCCUCAACCGGCAGAAACUGGACAGUAAGAAACUUCUAGGCUCGCUCGCCUCCGUGUUCGUCCGGCUCCCCUGCGGUGGUGUUGGGGUAAGUGUUCCUUUAAUAUGUAAAUAAUGUCCUGUUUCUUCUUGAGUCCCAGUGGUCACAGAAAUCGCAGCCUUGCUUCCCUCAAAGUGAAUAAUUGCUGCCAGGUGUUUUCCAUACGCAGGGGCUGCCCAUGUGCGGCUUCAAAGGCCGUGUGAGCCGAGAGCGUUUUGAUCGCCGACUCGGGCACCUUUCUCUGGGGAAGGUUGUCUGGCGCAGGCGGCUGGGGCUCUGGGGUGCAGUGGCUCUGGCUUUAAGAAACAGGAUCCUGUAUGCAGCCAGCAUCUCAUCCCCUUCCAAGUCUGCGGCAGUAAUCUGCUCACAUCAGGCCACGAGUAUGGUGCGGGUAGGAUGCGUGCUUCUAUAUUCUGUACCUAGUUUCCACCCGAAGCUACAGGUGGGGCUCCCAGUGCAGUGACCGUGAUACUCAUGGGCCACG
rnacentral:sRNA from 1 species